rnacentral:rRNA from 1 species
CUACGGGCGGCUCCAGUGGGGAAUAUUGGACAAUGGGGGAAACCCUGAUCCAGCAAUGCCGCGUGUGUGAAGAAGGCCUGCGGGUUGUAAAGCACUUUCGGUUGGGAGGACUGCUUCUAGCACUAAUAUUGUUGGAAGUUGACGUUACCUUCAGAAGAAGCACCGGCUAACUCCGUGCCAGCAGCCGCGGUAAUACGGAGGGUGCAGCGUUAAUCGGAAUUACUGGGCGUAAAGCGCGCGUAGGCGGCUAGAUCAGUCGGGUGGGAAGGCCCCGGGCUUAACCUGGGAACUGCAUCCGAUACUGUCUAGCUUGAGUACAGGAGAGGAGAGUGGAAUUCCACAUGUAGCGGUGAAAUGCGUAGAUAUGUGGAGGAACACCAAUGGCGAAGGCAGCUCUCUGGCCUGAUACUGACGCUGAGGUGCGAAAGCGUGGGGAGCAAACAGGAUUAGAUACCCGCGUAGUC